CUUAACUAUAACCACUGAACCAUGAAAAUGAGGUCAAGGUCAGAUGACACCUGCCAGCUAGACAUGUACACCUUACAAUCAUUCCAUACACCAAAUAUAGUAGACCUAUUGCAUACAGUAUAAGAAAAACAGACCAAAACAUAAAAACUUAACUAUAACCACUGAACCAUGAAAAUGAGGUCAAGGUCAGAUGACACCUGCCAGUUGGACAUGUACACCUUACAGUCCUUCCAUACACCGAAUAUACUAGACCUAUUGCUUAUAGUAUCUGAGAUAUGGACUUGACCACCAAAACUUAACCUUGUUCACUGAUCCAUGAAAUGAGGUCGAGGUCAAGUGAAAACUGUCUGACGGGCAUGAGGACCUUGCAAGGUACGCACAUACCAAAUAUAGUUAUCCUACUACUUAUAAUAAGAGAGAAUUUAACAUUACAAAAAAUGUUAACUUUUUUUUCAAGUAGUCACUGAACCAUGAAAAUGAGGUCAAGGACAUUGGACAUGUGACUGACGGAAACUUCGUAACAUGAGGCAUCCAUAUACAAAGUAUGAAGCAUCCAGAUCUUCUAGCUUCUAAAAUAUAAAGCUUUUAAGAAGUUAGCUAACGCCGCCGGAUCACUAUCCCUAUGUCGAGCUUUCUGCGACAAAAGUCGCAGGCUCGACAAAAA